rnacentral:rRNA from 1 species
GAUUAACGCUGGCGGCAUGCCUAAUACAUGCAAGUCGAACGGAAGCAGCAAUGCUUUAGUGGCGAACGGGUGAGUAACACGUAGGGAACCUACCUAUACGACGAGGAUAACUACUGGAAACGGUAGCUAAAACUGGAUAGGAUCAAUUGAGGCAUCUUGAUUGAUUUAAAGAUCCUUCGGGAUUACGUAGAGAUGGCCCUGCGGCGCAUUAGCUAGUUGGUGAGGUAACGGCCCACCAAGGCGACGAUGCGUAGCUGAGCUGAGAGGCUAAACAGCCACACUGGGACUGAGACACGGCCCAGACUCCUACGGGAGGCAGGCAGUAGGGAAUUUUCGGCAAUGGGGGAAACCCUGACCGAGCAAUGCCGCGUGAACGAUGAAGGUCUUCGGAUUGUAAAGUUCUGUGAUUGGGGAAGAAUGGUAUUCUUAGGGAAUGAGGAGUACAUGACGGUACCCGAUUAGAAAGCCCCGGCUAACUAUGUGCCAGCAGCCGCGGUAAA